rnacentral:siRNA from 1 species
CAAACCUGUCCCGCCAACCCGUCC